rnacentral:lncRNA from 1 species
AUUCUUAUGUGGACAUAUGAGUCACUUUAUUUCAUUUUCUUUUCCGACUGAUGAAAUUGCUGGACUGAAAAAACAGUUUGCAUGUAUGGCUAUUCUUAGCACAACAUACCACUUCCACUUCGAAAAUUAUUGUUCUAACUAUAAUUUAUGUAUUUUAAUAAUUUUUCGUUGGACAAUUCCGCUCUGUUAGUAAGGUUUUACUUCAAGAUAUAUUCAUUGUUGCACAAACCAAUAAAUUAAUGUUCGUGUAGAAUUACAUAAGUGAAUCUAUAUUUUCAUGUAAUAAAAAUAAGUUUGUUUUCACUAUUAUUUUUACUGAGUUAUUUUCACAUAAAUGGCUAAAAUAAGUAAAUUGGUGAUGCUCAAAUUUCGACCGUAUCUUUGUGAAUACCUAACUAAAUUAUUUAAAGGAGUUCCGCAUCAGUAUAUUGAACCAUAUAUAUAUUUCAUGUAUUUUACUAUGAUGUAUUUUUUUGUAUUUGUCUUAACUUUUUUUUGCAGUCAUUAUAGAUGUUCCAAACUAGAGUAUACAAUUUGGUAACGAGAUGUCUCAACAAAGUAAGAGUUAGUGUGCGUGCAACUUUAUUUUGAGAUUCAAGUAUAAAAAUAUUUUGAAAAUACCUUCUAUUCAGAUAUCACUCGCGUGUGUCACAGAAUAAGCGGUGUCAUUAGACUUCUUACAGCAAAAUCUUAUUCUAUAAAAAUUCUCCUAUGCACCUUUGAGUAAUUUUAUUUCACCCAAACAAAUUUUGUUGCAUUUUAUCAUCUAUGUUAAGUUAUAUGUAGUAAAAGUCACAUCCAUUUGUUAGUUACUCACAUGGUUUUGAAUACAUAUGACAAAUCCCCUUUAUUGUGAAUUUAAUGGUAUAUUUUUUUGGUAGAUGGAGCCACGUUUUACUGGUUAAAGCUAUGGUUAAAACUGAAUGCCGAAAGUCACAUGCAUCCGUUCUGUACUUAUCUAGGCCGACUGAUUUUGAGAAAUAGGCAAUUUACAAGAAGUAAUACCUAAGAGUGUCAAAAUACCAUAG